rfam:Lachnoclostridium sp. YL32, complete genome.
GUCAUCGUGAGGUGGGGUCUGAAGGAAGCCGGAGGCAAACCACUGGCCUGUAAAAGUUGUCCGGA